UCUGGUUGAUCCUGCCAGUAGUCAUAUGCUUGUCUCAAAGAUUAAGCCAUGCAAGUCUAAGUACGAGCUCUCGUACAGUGAAACUGCGAAUGGCUCAUUAAAUCAGUUAUGGUUCAUUUGAUCGUACAGUUUACUUGGAUAACUGUGGUAAUUCUAGAGCUAAUACAUGCGAGAAGCGCCGACCUCGCGGGAGGCGUGCAUUUAUCAGACCAAAAACCGGCCGCGUCUUCGGGCGCGUUCGCCUUGGUGACUCUGGAUAACUUUGCGGAUCGCACGGUCUAGCACCGGCGACGGAUCAUUCAAGUGUCUGCCCUAUCAACUUUCGUCGGUACGGUAUUUGCCUACCGAGGUUCUUACGGGUGACGGGGAAUCAGGGUUCGAUUCCGGAGAGGGAGCCUGAGAAACGGCUACCACAUCCAAGGAAGGCAGCAGGCGCGCAAAUUACCCAUUCCCGACGCGGGGAGGUAGUGACGAAAAAUAACAAUGCAGGACUCGUUCGAGGCCCUGUAAUUGGAAUGAGUACACUUUAAAAGCUUUAACGAGUAUCCAUUGGAGGGCAAGUCUGGUGCCAGCAGCCGCGGUAAUUCCAGCUCCAAAAGUAUAUAUUUAAGUUGUUGCGGUUAAAAAGCUCGUAGUUGGAUUUUGGGGCGCAAGCGGCCGGUCCGUCGCAAGGCGUGUACAUGGACGUCCUGGCCUCCCCUCCGGU
rnacentral:ncRNA from 1 species